rnacentral:tRNA from 1 species
GGUGGCUCAAUGGUAGAGUGCUUGCCUCAUAUGCAUGAGGCCCUGGGUUCAAUUCCUCAGCACCA